AUGUUGCACCGUACAAGUGGCGGCAACCUCUCAUACUCCGGUCCAGAUGGACAAAACGCGUUGCAUGCCGCGGUUCACCAUCCAUACGGUAUGGUACAACUGCUACUAGAUUGGAACAAUGAUCUUAGCGAACACAAGGACAAAAAUGGCUGCACCCCUCUUCACUCGUUGGUUUCGGUGCAGUCUGAAGAUUACAUUCCUAGAUUUUUUUUUUGUUUCCAUAAUGUCAAGUCGCUGUUGGAAAAACAUGCAACAAGGCAGGUACUUGGUGCUAACCCAUCCGCAGCAUAUCAGCAUGACAGUAAUGGUUUGUUACCUGUACACAUCGCUGCCUUGAUGGAUAGGAAGGUUGCCAUCGGUAUUCUCCUCAAAAGGUGUCGUGGUUGCAUCGCUCUUCGUGAUAAGCAGGGGAGAUCCUUUCUUCACAUUGCGGUCAAGAACAAGGUCUACCGUAUAGUAAAAUAUGCUUGUCAAGAACGAGUUUUUGCGCCGAUACUGAACGCUCGGGACAAUGAUGGUUACACUGCACUACACGUAGCUGUGGAGGUUGGGGAUCUGUUCGUCUUCUGUUAUCUCUUGCGGAAUCCAAAAGUACUAUUAAAUGUAAGGAACAACAAGGAUGAGACUCCGCUGGAUCUAGCAAGGAGCAAGAAACGCACAAGUUUUUACUUUAGACAGAAUCCAGAGAUCGUGAUACACAGGACACUCAUCGAUGCUGGUGCUAGGCAUGGUAGCUUCUGGAGAGGUCAUGUUCAACAACUCUGCAUUCAGAAUCAGUUGUCAAACUUAAAAGAUGUGGAGAAUCAAUCAAAAGAAGUGGUUGAGGCGAACCAUAAGAAAAAAGAGAAAAAAGAGAAAAAAGACUCAGAUGAGGUGACUGAAUCGAGCCGGGCACUUGGCAUUUUAUCAGUACUCAUCACAACGGUGACAUUUGGUGCAGCCUUCAGCGUACCUCCUUCAAUCAAACAAGCCGACAAUAGCAAGGGUGACAAUCCAAGACUUUUCAAUGCCUGGUAUUUCAGUGUGUUCAUGCUCGCCAACGCAGGUGCUUUCGUCUACUCCUCAAUAGCUACACUUUGUCUCAUGAUCUCCAGCACGUCCAUGGUUAAACUGGAUAUCCGGCGAGCUGCCUUCAGGAUAUCCACGUUUUUCGCCUCACAUUCGCUCACCUACUUGACUAUUGCAUUUGCCCUUGGCAUACAUAUAGUACUGGCUCCAGCAGGUCGUACAAUUGCCCCUGCCAUAUACACGGUGAGCUUAUCUCUGUUGCUCUGGCAGCAUGGAGGUUCUGUCGGAGAAAUCUUUCAUACUUACAAACCGCUGUCUGUCAGACGGGGGCAUAAAUUCGCAUUCUGCCUAUUUAUACGCCAUAUCUCUCUGUGGGCUAUAAGUCAGCUUUGGCCCUUCACUCUUUUUAUUUACGCAUCAGCGGGAAAUAAACCUAUCCCUUGA
rnacentral:rRNA from 1 species